rnacentral:rRNA from 1 species
UACGUAGGGGGCUAGUGUUGUCCGGAUUUAUUGGGCGUAAAGGGCGCGUAGGCGGCCCGCACAAGUCUGCGGUGAAAACCCCCGGCUUAACCGGGGGCCGGCCGUGGAAACUGUCGGGCUAGAGGCCGGGAGAGGGCAGCGGAAUUCCCGGUGUAGCGGUGAAAUGCGUAGAGAUCGGGAGGAACACCGGUGGCGAAGGCGGCAUCCUGGACCGGCAUUGACGCUGAGGCGCGAAAGCUAGGGGAGCAAACGGG